rnacentral:rRNA from 1 species
AUUGAACGCUGGCGGCAUGCCUUACACAUGCAAGUCGAACGGUAACAGGUCUUCGGAUGCUGACGAGUGGCGAACGGGUGAGUAAUACAUCGGAACGUGCCUAGUAGUGGGGGAUAACUACUCGAAAGAGUGGCUAAUACCGCAUGAGAUCUACGGAUGAAAGCAGGGGAUCGCAAGACCUUGUGCUACUAGAGCGGCCGAUGGCAGAUUAGGUAGUUGGUGGGAUAAAAGCUUACCAAGCCGACGAUCUGUAGCUGGUCUGAGAGGACGAUCAGCACACUGGGACUGAGACACGGCCCAGACUCCUACGGGAGGCAGCAGUGGGGAAUUUUGGACAAUGGGCGAAAGCCUGAUCCAGCAAUGCCGCGUGCAGGAUGAAGGCCCUCGGGUUGUAAACUGCUUUUGUACGGAACGAAAAGCCCCGGGUUAAUACCCUGGGGUCAUGACGGUACCGUAAGAAUAAGCACCGGCUAACUACGUGCCAGCCGCCGCGGUAA